rnacentral:tRNA from 1 species
GCCCCCAUCGUCUAGCGGCCUAGGACAUCUCUCUUUCAAGGAGGCAGCGGGGAUUCGACUUCCCCUGGGGGUC